rnacentral:lncRNA from 1 species
UGAAAUUGAAUCAUGCAUGGUAUGGUGACAUGUAUGCAUGGCUGUAUGAUAUAAUAUGUAUAAGUGCAUGGUGGUAUGUGCAUAUAGUAUGAUGACAUGUAUGCAUGGCAGAAUGAUGUUACACGUACAAGUGCAUGGUGGUAUAUGCACAUGACAUGGUGACUUAUAUACAUGGGUGUUUUGAUGAAAUGUGCAUGGCUGAAAGGUAAG